GGAGCGGCCCCCGUGGGACGACCCUGUUGAUUGUGCUAGCGGAUGUUGUCUCCAUUCUGGAUCUGGGAAAAACUGUGGAGUGAAAGCCGGACCUGUUAGGGUUGGGACCUGAAAGCGGACUUUUUCGCUCUCAGACGGGCCCCAGGAAUUUCAUGUUUAACAGAGGUGUCUUCAAGGAGAUGAAACAAUUCAGAAUGACCUAGGCAAUGGGGUAAUUCCUAAGGAACAAGCUAUUCAUUCAUACAGCAUGGACGAAUAUUAAAUGCAUGUUGCUGAGUGAAAGAAGCCAGAAUGAUAAGGCUACAUCCUGGAAAAGUUUAUAUUCUGGAAAAGGCAAAACUUAUAGAGACAGAAACAAAUCAGCCAGUUGUUGCUGGGGUUUGGGAGAGAAGAAUGUUGACUAUGUGAAGAACAAGGGAUCUUGGGGGGCAUCUAUUCCAUAUGCUACUGUAGGGGUGGAUGCAUGAUACUAUCAUUUGUGGAAAACCAUAGAACUUUACAAAACUAACAGUGAACCUUAAUGUCUGCAAAAUUUUACAAAAUCAACUAGGAGGCUGGGGGAUCCCAGGAUGAAAUACAGGCAAUGACAAAAGAGCCUAACUCUAUUACACAUUUAUAACAUAACCGCACCGAAGAGGACUGGUAUUCUAUAACUGUGGAAAUAAUGGAAACUGGAAAACUGAAGACAAAAGGAACUGUACUUAGCACUAUACUCUAGUUGGUAAAGGCGUUUCUCAAGGGGUACCAGUUAACAAUUCUGAGACUGCUGUACAUGUAUGCAGAGACUGAACAAAUAAGUAAAUGGCUGGUACAUGCUCACUCUCAGGGAGGGAGGCCACAGAUAAACAAGAGGAAGAGGCUCUAAUGUCAUGUGUGGUUGUGGAUUAGAACCAGAAACAUAAAUAUGAACUCAUGUUUAGAUUAAUAUAGAUAUUAAUGGAUUGAUAUAGAAAUAAUGAUGAUAUGGGUAUAUAUACAGGUUAGUAUACAGUCAUAUAUUUCUUAUCCCUAUCCACUGAGAGGGCCUAGAAACAACAAUACUCCAGUAGCAACACACACAUCUCGUGCCCAUAUCUUGAUUUCUUUUGCCAUUUCCUAACAAAAGGAGCCAGGACUUCUUGGAGAAAUGGCUGAUUCUAAGACUGGGUCAGAGAGUAUACCAGAUGACGCUGGCACAUCUUCUACUGCUAGAAAGUAAGGAAAUGCUCAAAAAAUAAAACCACGGAGAUAUUUCAAAGGAACACAGAAGCCAAGUGGAA
rnacentral:lncRNA from 1 species